UGCGACGUUAGUCCAGCUUGGUUAAGACACUAGCCUGCCACGCUAGUGACCCGGGUUCAAAUCCCGGACGUCGCA
rnacentral:tRNA from 1 species